GGAAGGAUCAUUAUUGAAUGAACUUGGUGUGGUUGUCGCUGGCCCUCUUGGGGGCAUGUGCACACCUACCAUCCUCAUCUCUCCACCUGUGCACCUCUUGUAGAUUUGGAAUUGAUUAUCCGAGGCAACUCGGUCGUGAGGACUGCUAGCACUUAGCUGGCUUUCUUUGCAAUUCCAGGUCUAUGUUUUUCAUAUACCCCAUUGUAUGUAACAGAAUGUAUCAUUGGGCCCUUGUGCCUAUAAACCUUAUACAACUUUCAGCAACGGAUCUCUUGGCUCUCGCAUCGAUGAAGAACGCAGCGAAAUGCGAUAAGUAAUGUGAAUUGCAGAAUUCAGUGAAUCAUCGAAUCUUUGAACGCGCCUUGCGCUCCUUGGUAUUCCGAGGAGCAUGCCUGUUUGAGUGUCAUUAAAUUCUCAACCAAUAUCAACUUUUGCUGAUAAUGGCUUGGAUGUGGGGGUCUAUUUUGCUGGCUUCUCAGAUAGUCAGCUCCCCUUAAAUGCAUUAGCCGGUGCCCCGCGUGGACUGUCUAUUGGUGUGAUAAUUAUCUACGCUAUAGACAUCUGCAAUCAUAUGGGUUUGCACUGCUUCUAACAGUCUGUUGAUUCAGACAAAACAUGACAAUUUGACCUCAAAUCAGGUAGGACUACCCGCUGAACUUAAGCAUAUCAAUAAGCGGAGGA
rnacentral:rRNA from 1 species